rnacentral:snRNA from 1 species
AGCUUUGCGCAGUGGCAGUAUCGUAGCCAAUGAGGUUUAUCUGAGGCGCGAUUAUUGCUAAUUGAAAAAAAAAAUCAGUCAA